AUUGAACGCUGGCGGCAGGCCUAACACAUGCAAGUCGAACGAGUGGCGGACGGGUGAGUAAUGUCUGGGAAACUGCCUGCUGGAUGGGGAUAACUACUGGAAACGGUAGCUAAUACCGCAUACCAUCAGAUGUGCCCAGCUGGGAUUAGCUUGUUUGUGGGGUAACGGCUCACCAAGGCGCCGAUCCCUAGCUGGUCGGCGAGGAUGACAAGCGAAACGGGAACAGAGACACGGACCAGACUCCUACGGGAGGCAGCAGUGGGGAAUAUUGGACAAUGGGCGCAAGCCUGAUGCAGCCAUGCCGCGUGUAUGAAUAAGGCCUUCGGGUUGUAAAGUAGUUUCAGCGGGGAGGCGUUACCCGCAGAAGAAGCACCGGCUAACUCCGUGCCAGCAGCCGCGGUAAUAC
rnacentral:rRNA from 1 species